rnacentral:sRNA from 1 species
AGGUUGAACUUAUUUCCAGGGAAGAAGGGCGGGGAUGUCAGGGCUGGAGAGUGCCUGUGUCCUUCUGUGUGCAUUGGGCUCCUUCCUCCUUAAUUCUCUCAUUUCCACUUUUUAGGCUGAACUCCAGUGCACCCAGUUAGACUUGGAGCGGAAACUCAAGUUGAAUGAAAAUGCCAUCUCCAGGCUCCAGGCCAACCAAAAGUCUGUUCUGGCUCCUUGAAUAUGUUGAGGCCUCUCCUCUCUACUAUUUCUGCUUGUCAUCAUUUUCGCGAGGAGAAGGAGCAAGCUGCGCUGAGCCAGGCCAACGGUAUCAAGGCCCACCUGGAGUACAGGAGUGCCGAGAUGGAGAAAAGCAAGCAGGAGCUGGAGAGGAUGGCGGCCAUCAGCAACACUGUCCAGUUCCUGGAGGAGUACUGCAAGUUUAAGAACACUGAAGACAUCACCUUCCCUAGUGUUUACAUAGGGCUGAAGGAUAAACUCUUGGGCAUCCGCAAAGUUAUCACGGAAUCCACUGUACACUUAAUCCAGUUGCUGGAGAACUAUAAGGAAAAGCUCCAG